rnacentral:rRNA from 1 species
UGGGGAAUAUUGCACAAUGGGGGAAACCCUGAUGCAGCGACGCCGCGUGAACGAAGAAGGUAUUCGUAUCGUAAAGUUCUGUCCUAUGGGAAGAUAAUCACAGUACCAUAGAAGAAAGCUCCGGCUAAAUACGUGCCAGCAGCCGCGGUAAUACGUAUGGAGCGAGCGUUGUCCGGAAUUAUUGGGCGUAAAGGGUACGCAGGCGGUUUAAUAAGUCGAAUGUUAAAGAUCGGGGCUCAACCCCGCAAAGCAUUGGAAACUGAUAAACUUGAGUAGUGGAGAGGAAAGUGGAAUUCCUAGUGUAGUGGUGAAAUACGUAGAUAUUAGGAGGAAUACCAGUAGCGAAGGCGACUUUCUGGACACAAACUGACGCUGAGGUACGAAAGCGUGGGGAGCAAACAGG